CAAGGCAAUUGUUCUGAGAUCACUGUAGUAGGGGGUGAAAGAUUUAAAACAGCUCAUCACUGUUGAAACAAAAAUGCCUGGUUGGAAUGGAUAAAAUCUUCUGUUCAUACUUUAAAUAAAAGCAAUGUAUAGGGGCUGGGAAUAUGGCCUAGUGGCAAGAGUGCUUGCCUUGUAUACAUGA